GAGCGUAUAGCUCAGUGGUAGAGUGUGUGCUUAGCAUGCAUAAGGUCCUGGGUUCAACUCCCAGUGCCUCCA
rnacentral:tRNA from 1 species